GUGCCAGCCGCCGCGGUAAGACGGACCAUCCAAACGUUAUUCGGAAUUACUGGGCUUAAAGGGUGCGUAGGCGGCGCGGAAAGUUGGGUGUGAAAUCCCUCGGCUUAACCGAGGAAUGGCGCUCAAAACUACCGUGCUUGAGGAAGACAGAGGUGAGCGGAACUUAGGGUGGAGCGGUGAAAUGCGUUGAUAUCCUAAGGAACACCGGUGGCGAAAGCGGCUCACUGGGUCUUUUCUGACGCUGAGGCACGAAAGCCAGGGUAGCGAACGGGAUUAGAAACCCUCGUAGUCC
rnacentral:rRNA from 1 species